rnacentral:rRNA from 1 species
UACGGGGGGGGCAAGCGUUGUUCGGAAUUACUGGGCGUAAAGGGCUCGUAGGCGGCCAACUAAGUCGGACGUGAAAUCCCCAGGCUCAACCUGGGAACUGCGUCCGAUACUGGAUGGCUUGAAUUCGGGAGAGGGAUGCAGAAUUCCAGGUGUGAGCGGUGAAAUGACGUAGAUAUCUGGAGGAAUACCGGUGGCGAAGGCGGCAUCCUGGACCGACAUUGACGCUGAGGAGCGGAAAGCGUGGGGAGCGAACGAGG